rnacentral:lncRNA from 1 species
UCUCAAUGAUAAUUUGUCUCCCUCCACCGCUUUUUUUAGGGGGGAAGGGGGAAGGUAUUGCUCGAGCUGGUUUGCUGCAUCAAUUUAAUUUUGGUUCUACGCCAUCAUAGAGGUUAGGUUUUGCUAGAUAAAAAAUUGUAACCAAAUAGGUAGGGGUAGUAAUCUUCAAUCAAUGGGUAGGUGAGAGGGUGUUUGAUUUCUUGAAAAGUGGAACCAAAUACGAUGUUCGAUUGUGAUUUUUGUUCGACUUUGAUUUAUGCUUUUUGAUAUUGCCCUCUAUUAUGUCUGAUUUGAUUAUUGAUGUGACUCAGACUUUUACUUAUAUUGCCUUUUCGAUUAUUGUUGCAAGGUUUGUUUUAUGUUGCUUUGAUUUAUGUUGUGAAUGAUUUGGCUU